rnacentral:rRNA from 1 species
UGAGGAAUAUUGGUCAAUGGGCGGGAGCCUGAACCAGCCAAGUCGCGUGAGGGAAGACGGUCCUAUGGAUUGUAAACCUCUUUAGGCGGGAGCAAUGCCGGGCACGCGUGCCCGGAGGGAGAGUACCCGCAGAAUAAGCAUCGGCUAACUCCGUGCC